GAUGAACGCUGGCGGCGUGCUUAACACAUGCAAGUCGAGCGGAGCGGCGAACGGGUGAGUAACGCGUGAGUAACUGGCCCCCUCCCUGGGAUAACAGCUGGCAACGGCUGCUCAUACCGGAUAGCGGGGGAUGACUCGCGUCCUCUCAGCUUGUUGGUGGGGUAGUGGCCUACCAAGGCGACGACGGGUAGCCGGCCUGUGCGGGCGACCGGCCACAUUGGGCUGAGAUACGGCCCAAACUCCCACGGGAGGCAGCAGGGGGGAAUAUUGCAGAAUGGGGGAAACCCUGAGGCAGCAACGCCGCGUGCGGGAGGACGGCCUUCGGGUUGUAAACCGCUUUCAGCCAUGACGCGGUAGUGGCAGAAGAAGCACCGGCUAACGACGUGCCAGCAGCCGCGGUAAUUC
rnacentral:rRNA from 1 species